rnacentral:rRNA from 1 species
CGCUGGCGGCAUGCCUUACACAUGCAAGUCGAACGGCAGCACGGAGCUUGCUCUGGUGGCGAGUGGCGAACGGGUGAGUAAUAUAUCGGAACGUACCCUAGAGUGGGGGAUAACGUAGCGAAAGUUACGCUAAUACCGCAUACGAUCUAAGGAUGAAAGUGGGGGAUCGCAAGACCUCAUGCUCGUGGAGCGGCCGAUAUCUGAUUAGCUAGUUGGUAGGGUAAAAGCCUACCAAGGCAUCGAUCAGUAGCUGGUCUGAGAGGACGACCAGCCACACUGGAACUGAGACACGGUCCAGACUCCUACGGGAGGCAGCAGUGGGGAAUUUUGGACAAUGGGCGAAAGCCUGAUCCAGCAAUGCCGCGUGAGUGAAGAAGGCCUUCGGGUUGUAAAGCUCUUUUGUCAGGGAAGAAACGGUGAGAGCUAAUAUCUCUUGCUAAUGACGGUACCUGAAGAAUAAGCACCGGCUAACUACGUGCCAGCAGCCGCGGUAAUACGUAGGGUGCAAGCGUUAAUCGGAAUUACUGGGCGUAAAGCGUGCGCAGGCGGUUUUGUAAGUCUGAUGUGAAAUCCCCGGGCUCAACCUGGGAAUUGCAUUGGAGACUGCAAGGCUAGAAUCUGGCAGAGGGGGGUAGAAUUCCACGUGUAGCAGUGAAAUGCGUAGAUAUGUGGAGGAACACCGAUGGCGAAGGCAGCCCCCUGGGUCAAGAUUGACGCUCAUGCACGAAAGCGUGGGGAGCAAACAGGAUUAGAUACCCUGGUAGUCCACGCCCUAAACGAUGUCUACUAGUUGUCGGGUCUUAAUUGACUUGGUAACGCAGCUAACGCGUGAAGUAGACCGCCUGGGGAGUACGGUCGCAAGAUUAAAACUCAAAGGAAUUGACGGGGACCCGCACAAGCGGUGGAUGAUGUGGAUUAAUUCGAUGCAACGCGAAAAACCUUACCUACCCUUGACAUGGCUGGAAUCCCCGAGAGAUUGGGGAGUGCUCGAAAGAGAACCAGUACACAGGUGCUGCAUGG